UACGUAGGGUGCGAGCGUUAAUCGGAAUUACUGGGCGUAAAGCGCACGCAGGCGGUCUCUUACGUUUGGUGUGACAGUUGGUGGCUUAACUGCCAAAGUGCUUCGAAAACUGAGAGACUUGAGGGCUUCAGAGGGACACGGAAUUCCGGGUGGAGUGGUGAAAUGCGUAGAGAUCCGGAGGAACACCAAAGGCGAAGGCAGUGUCCUGGGGAGUACCUGACGCUCAGGUGCGAAAGCCAGGGGAGCGAACGGG
rnacentral:rRNA from 1 species